AGGACAAACGCUGGCGGCGUGCAUAACACAUGCAAGUCGAACGAGUGCCGCAAGGCACGAGUGGCGGACGGGUGAGGAACACGUGGAUAACCGACCAUGUACUGGGGAAUACCCGUGGGAAACCACGGCUAAUACCGCAUACGUUCAGAGAUGAAGAAAGCCUCCGGGCGGUAGAUGACGGGUCUGCGGUCGAUUAGCUAGUUGGUGCGGUAACGGCGCACCAAGGCGACGAUCGAUAGCUGGUCUGAGAGGAUGAUCAGCCACAUUGGGAUUGAGAACGGCCCAAAUCCCUACGGGGAGCAGCAGUGAGGAAUAUUCGGCAAUGGGCGCAAGCCUGACCGAGCGACGCCGCGUGGGGGAUGACGCAUCUCGGUGUGUAAACCCCUUUUCUGCGUGACGAGAAUGGACGGUAGCGCAGGAAUCAGUCUCGGCUAACUACGCGCCAGCAGCCGCGGUAA
rnacentral:rRNA from 1 species